rnacentral:rRNA from 1 species
GAUGAACGCUGGCGGCGUGCCUAAUACAUGCAAGUAGAACGCUGAAGGAGGAGCUUGCUCUUCUGGAUGAGUUGCGAACGGGUGAGUAACGCGUAGGUAACCUGCCUGGUAGCGGGGGAUAACUAUUGGAAACGAUAGCUAAUACCGCAUGACAACAGUUAUUGCAUGAUAACUGUUUAAAAGGGGCAACUGCUCCACUACCAGAUGGACCUGCGUUGUAUUAGCUAGUUGGUGAGGUAACGGCUCACCAAGGCGACGAUACAUAGCCGACCUGAGAGGGUGAGCGGCCACACUGAGACUGAGACACGGCCCAGACUCCUACGGGAGGCAGCAGUAGGGAAUCUUCGGCAAUGGACGGAAGUCUGACCGAGCAACGCCGCGUGAGUGAAGAAGGUUUUCGGAUCGUAAAGCUCUGUUGUAAGAGAAGAACGAGUGUGAGAGUGGAAAGUUCACACUGUGACGGUAUCUUACCAGAAAGGGACGGCUAACUACGUG